CAUUUAUCAAAACACUGUAUUGUGCCCUAUAAGCAUAAACAAUUAUUUAUGAAUAACAAAACUAUAAACAUUUUAAUAAGAGAAUUAUUGGAGUCAGAAGGAUAGGAUAUGUACCUAACAGGUCACUAAAGAUUUUAGAUGAAAAAAAGAAAAUACAUUGCAUAGCAAUUCUAACUACCUCUUUAUCUAACAUUGCCUCCACAUACUACCAGACCCAGCCUUGUCUUCUUUCUCCUUGGUUUUCUAUUUCCCAAAUCUGUUUCUAGGCUGAUAAUUCUCUUCUUUUCCAAUGUGGGACUUCACAAGUCUUUUGGCGUAAUGCCUCAUCUACAUUAAAUUGUCCUUAUUUUACUGGAUAGACAAAAUACUCCUUUUUGAGGGCUAUUUACGGUGGGCUGUGUGAUGAAUGGGGUCAGUUAUCAUCAGGCAGUGGUAGAAUGUCUUUCGUGGAUGGAAAGAAGAGGCUGUGACUACUUAAUGCUUUUAUUUCAUCAUUGUUACAUUAACUGUGGAUCACUCGUGAACUGGCAUGCAGUUAUUGAAGGUGAAACGGAGACAGUGAUUUCAGACCGAGUGGGCAGCAUUAGGGUCCCUCGGGGCUGCUUGAGGGAGGAGGCAGGGGACACUGCAGCAUUACUCACAACAGCUAAGACGCAGAGGCAACCUAGGUGUCCAUGAUAAAAAUGGAUGGAUAAAGAAAACGUGAUACACAUACAACGGAGUACUUUUUAUUUUUAAAAAGAAGGUGUCAACAUGAAUGAACCUGAAGGAUAUUAUUAUGAAAUAAAGCAGGCAUGGGAAGAAACAUGCCAGGCAGGCACGGCUUCUGAAGUAUGCUUUAAUUAUGGCCAUGUUUGUUUUUGCUAGAAUACAAAAUAAUGGGUUUUGUUCAUUCGCACGUGCAUGUCAUUAUACAUGCAUCAUUGUACUUUGCUCACAUUUAUCCCUUCCUUAAUUCUCUCGCCCCUCUCAACCCUGGAUAUUUUGUUUCAGACAAGGUUCACGCUAGUAAAAGUUUUCUUUUUACAUUUGAUCUCAUCCAAAAUGGCUGAGAUGUGGUGAAAAAUUUACUUCUUAUGAAAGCAGCUUGACCCAAGGGAGCAUGUGACAGAGAUCCGGAACACUCAUGUGUUUAUGCAGCUGUAUUCGCCUCGGCCGGGGGAGGUGUCUGCCAACAGAGGAACGGAUUAGGAAGAUGUGGCACAGAGGAAUGAUAGGAUUUUAUUCAGCUAUAAUGAAGAAUGAAAUUAUGUCAUUUGCAAGAAAAAAAAGAGAUAGAACGAGAGGUUAGCAUGUUAAAAGAAAUAAGCUGCAUUUAGGCAAAUAUUACUUAUUUCCUCUCAUACAUAGAAGCUGAAGUUUAAAGGAAAAGAUUUGAAAGUAGAAAUUGAUUAUUUGAGAAGAGGAAGGGACCUCAUCCGAGUAGGCAAGACAGCAAAGGGCAAUGGGAGUGGUGGGUAUGGUUAGAGUGCCAUGCAUGCAAGGCUGACAACACCAGAAUAAUAUCCAUUGUUCUGUACAACAAAAAUAUACACUCGUGCUUCACUCAAGUGUUUGGAAAGUCAUUUAAAGAUGGGGUUAGGGAGUUGGUUCAGUGCUUGAGUCUGGAACAUUAGCACCACUGGGCAUGGCAGUGUGUGUCUAUCAUCCCAAUGUGUGUUGGGGCUGUAGCAGGUAGAGAGAGGACUGAGACAUCCAGUCUAGUCAAAACAGAGAGGCCCUGCCUCAAAAAAUCGGGUGGAGAGCGAUAGAGGAAGGCGCCCAACAUUAACUUUUGUCCUCCAUGCACAACUACAAGCACACGUGCACCUGAUGUGACAUACCACAAGCCCCUACCACACACAUGCAUCCAGAAAGUGUGUCUGAGGUAAAGCACAAGGGGAAAAUAAUCUCCCUGUGGUUUAUAGAACAAAUAUAGAUAAAUGUAGAUGAGGGGAAACCCCCUAAAUUUCAUCACUGAAUAGUAAUGAAAACGUUCAGCAGGCAAGAAUUGAUUCAAAAAGUAUUAUGUGAAAAUUACAGCCACACAACAUACCUAGAGUUGUGUCUGAUUCUCAGGAAAUGAACAACCCUACCCAUUUUACUCAUUAACACAUCAUCUAGUGAUCGCCUGUUGACCUUAAAGCAAAUGAAUUGAAAGUGUGUCGUUUAAUAAACUUUCCCACAGACACCACCCAGAUCACAAUAUAGGGCAUUUCUGUCACUCCGGGGAGUUCCCUCACAUACUAGUCUUCUUGGGAGCUCACUCAUGUCCCAUCACUAGAUAAAUUUCACCUGCUCUAAAGCUCUGUAAGCAAUGGUUGCCAGGGGGAGGGAGUCCCAUUCCUCAGUAUGUAGCUACUGCUAAGCUGCCCUUGUUCAGGAAAAUUACCCCUGCCCCUGCCUGUGCAGUGGGUCACAAACAAACAAGAUGUGAAAUCAGGAGUGGAGUGGUGGGAAGAGGGUUUGCUGGGAGGAGGAAGGGAGUAAUAGAAGAGAAUGAGGGUAAAUACAGUCAAAGUUCUCUCUACUUCCCUGCCCCGCUCUCCCUCCUCCCUCCCUUCCUCCCUUUCUCCCUCCCUCCCUCCCUUCCUUUCUCUCUCUUUCUUUCUCCUUCCUUCUUCCCUCCCUCCCCCUUUUUUCUUUCUUUCUUUCUUCCUUCCUUCCUUCCUUUCUUUCUUUCUUUCUUUCUUUCUUUCUUUCUUUCUUGAGACAGGGUUUUUCUGUGUAGAUCUGGCUGUCCUGGAACUUCCUUUGUAGACAAAGCUGGCCUCAAACUCACAGAUAUCCACCUGCCUCUGCCUCCCAAGUGUUGGGAUUAAAGGUGUGUGCCAUCACUGAGUGGCAAAUUUAUAACUUUAAUCUUUCAUUUUAAUUUUAUUUUCCCCCUCUCUCUUUCUAGUUGAUCUGUAAUGAAAUUGUGAAAGAACAAAUUAGAAGAAAGAAAAAAAACACGCCUCUUCAUGGACCUUUUGGGUUUGCCUAAUCUCUUGGACAACCCUAACCAACAACCCAGAAGGGAACUUCUCUUCCUGGUGUUCUGGCUUUUGUUAGAUAGUCUAUAGUGUUGGCAGGAAGAACUGUCAGGACAGAUGGGAAGUUUUCAUUUAAACUGUGGCUUGAGAUCGAGCCAGUGCCUCAUGCACUUAGGAGAGCCCCCUACCACUAAGCUACAUCCAUGGUCCUCCACUAGGCUCUUCACUGGCCUCCUCCUACCAACUUUGGCUUCACUCAAGACUUAUUAUACACAACCCUGUGCAUCUGAUCUAUCUUCGGACACAUGCUGCUGAAGUUUCAACAGUUUGAAGAGGUUUUAGAAGCACCUCUAAAGACAGAUACAUGGAUAUUAGAAACUGUGUUGGUUGCACAUGUUCGGAAGACUCAGGUUCCAACUCUGGAACAUUCACUAGCUAUCUCUAUGAUUGAGCUAUCUUCCCUCUAAGCCCCUCAAGUUUCCCUUUCCUGAUCUGUGAAUAAAAACAUUGCAUCAAACUAGGUCUCCUGGGAUGUUUUCAGUGAGCAACGUUGUGAUAUACUGUGGAACUGACUUAGAGGAACUUUCUGGAAUUCUUGCUGGAGACAGAGCAGAACAAGGCCCUGGGGAGGCAUUUUAGGCAUCUCUCCUAUCUUUCUUCUCUGAGAUGCCUGGCAUGUUUGGAGACAGUUCCCAUAUGCAGGAAAGAACCACAUGAAGAUGUUCCCGGAUCAGUUCCUCAUUUCAGCAGGUGUGCCAGGCAACAGAGGGCUCCCAGCAGUGGAGGGGAAGUCUGUGGUUUGCUUUUACACGAUGGUGUGGGUUCUUGUUAAGUUCUCUGUGCUCUACUAUAUACUUAGAAGCCACUAGAUCCAGGCCAGCUUCUAGAAGCUGAGUCCGUAAGUCCCACAGAGUUGCUUUGCGGCCAGUUGUGUGGGCCAGCUGAGCAGUGGGUGUAGACAUAUACAUUUGUACAGUUAUGGAUUUUAGUGUAAGAAUUAUGGUGUAGAAGUAAAUACAUAUUGGAAAAAUAUUAGUGUCCUGAUUUUGAUAUUAUACUCUAGGUAGGUAAGAUGCAACCAUUUGGGGACACAGUGUGAUGGUGAGAAGAACCCCUCUGUUCUACCAUUGCAGUACCUUGUGAGUCUUUAUUUCAAAGAUUAAAAAAUAUGUGUAAAUGUUUCAAGGUGGUUUAUAAGGUUCUGUAAGGAUGGUUUCAUAGUUGUCUGAGUGGGGACCUCCCUAUCCCCCUAAAGGUGCAGGCUCACUUCUUGUGCUUAUUGUGCAGUGGGUUUUCAUAGUGUUGUCUAUCAAGUUUGUGUUGUGUUUGAUCAGCAUCAAGGCCAGCCUUCGAAAUCACACGGUGAGUGCUGAGCCUUUUGGAUGCCUGGUUUCCAAAGCAUGCCCUACUUCUUUCUGCUUUGAGGCUCCCCAGCCUCCCUUGGCUCUGGAACGUUCAUGCAAAGGGCUGAAGAGUAGCCUGGCUGAUGGAGAGUAACCUGACAUAUGAAGAGUAGCCUGGCCGAUGGAGAGUAGCCUGGCUGAUGAAGAGUAGCCUGGCCGAUGGAGAGUAGCCUGGCUGAUGGCUUACACAGAUUUCUGAGGGCAGCAGGAAAAAUAGGAUGCAGCCCUGUAGUCAGUCAUUUGAGGGUCCAGUUAGUUCAGAUUCAAUUCUACAAAGGAACUUAUGGGUUGGGAAUGUUGAUGGUUCUGAAAAGAAGAGGAAAAAUUGAGAAAUAAUCCUUGUAGGCAGAAUAAUGCACCCCAUCUUCUCAAAGAGGUCCACCUCAUGUUUAGAAUCUGAACAUUGUCACAUGGCAAAGAGGAAUUAAGACUCUAAUCAACUUACAUGGUACAAGGAGUUUAUCAUGGCCUGUUCUAAUAGCUCCAUGUAAUCGUAAGUGUCCUUAAAGGUAGCAGAGAGAGGCAGAGAAAGUGAGGGGAUGACAGCUGGGUAUCCCAGUACUGGCUUUGAAGGAGGAAGGGACCAUGAG